CCUCAGGGCUUACCCUCUCACUGCCUUCAAGUCUCUGUUCAAUAUUACUGUCCACGCUAUGUAAAACUGCACGUUUGCCCCUGCGGUCAUUCAUCCACUUUACCGUGCUUUUUCCCCCAUAACACUUCUCAAUUUCUAACAUACUGUAUAACUGACUUUUCUACUUAACUGUUACCAGUAAAAAUGGCAUAUCUGCUUCCUGUCCAGCGCUCUCUAUUGGAAGGCCCGAGGAUUUGAUGGUUGUGUUCACAGGGGGAUCCCCAGGGCCUUGCAAAUUGUUCAGACCUAAAAAAAGUAUUGAAUGAAGAAUGAUCAGCCAGAGUGAUUUCUGUUAUUACAGACACCAAGCCACAGGGCAUUAGGUUGGGGAUAGGACAUCUGUCCCCAAACCUCAAGGCAGAGAAAAGGGCGAGGGACCCAGUAGAUCAUCAUGGGAGUGACAGGGUCGCCCGGCCUGCACCUUGCAAGACACCUGUUUUUUUGUCUCACUGUGUUAAAAUCAUUGUACCGUCGCUGUCACGUGAUCUGCACACAGACUCAUUUCUAGCAGGCACUACCUUCUGAUCUUCUAGUCUGCCAGCAAUCAGGGGAAAUUGUUUUUUCCCUUGGUUUCAGGUUUAGUCAUCAGGAGCUGGCAGCCACCUGACAACCAUCUUGGCCCUUUGGCUGGGGCGGACCGGCUGGGUUGCUUGUUGGUUGGUGGCCGGGCAGUGGUGGCGGCUCUCCAGAGUGUGCUUUGGACAGACAAGAAGAACGCAGGAGGAGCAGAGAGAGAAGGAGAAAGAAAAUCUCAAGCAGACUCCAUACUGUCAGUGCAGAUCCCCAUGUGGGGUUUGAUCGCAUGAACCGUGAGAUCACGACCUGAGCCAAGAUCAAAAGUCAGACACUCAACCGACUGAGUCACCCAGGUGCCCCAUAGGCUAUAUUUGAUUUUAAGUCUUUUUUUUUUUUUUUUUCAUGUAUAUGUGGAAUCCAUGCUUCUUGUAAGGUUCAAAUGGUCCAGAAAUAGGUAACCCCAUAGGAAAAGUCCCUUGUAUCAGUCCAAACACUGUUAACAUUCUGUGGGUAACUUAAAGAAUAAAUCUUAAAUUCAGGUACAUUUCUUUCAUGUUAUGUCACCAUUUAGAAAUGAAGCAGCUCAAACAUAUUCCAUUUUUGUUUCCCAUUACUAUCACCUAACAAUAAAAGUUUUAUAUUUACAAGGAAGAAC
rnacentral:lncRNA from 1 species